rnacentral:lncRNA from 1 species
CAAUGUGAAGGGGUAUGUAUGUACGCGAUGUUUACAGGGAUGGAAGUAAGGGAAUGUGUUGCGGCGGGUAGCUGGUUCGCGGCGGUGGCGCAGCCAUGCAAAGCCUGCACCUAAGCACAUGCGUCCAGCUAAUGUCCAUCAAAAGGCCCAUGUAAUCACUUCACUCAACCAACAUGCGCAUGCUCGGUCGUCUUUUGAUUAUUAUGCGGCCUUAAAGUGCCAUGCUCUACGCACGACAUGCGAAACACACACGCCACGCACGCAGCCAACCAACCCGUUUACCAUGAGCAAUCAAAGGUGUCCCGACACCCAACUAGAUCACCACAAGGUCCCUCUCGAUACCAAUGCAUUCCAGGGACACGUCCGAGUGCCCGUUUCAGGGUCACCCUGUUGCGCGUUUUCGUAACAAAGCGUCUGAGUUCCUCAUGGGAGCCCUUUCCCUGCCGGGGCGCCACAUACCCAAGGCAUUAAGGGCAACAUGCGCACACCACUUACAUGUAUGCAUGCGCCCACCAGCUCAGUUCCUCAACGCACCUCAUACAUGCUCUACAAAGCGGCCGCCAGCACAGCCAGCGCAAUCAUAAGAGGAGCCCCCCAUGCAGGGAAGGCAACCCGCGCGGCACUGCCACCCGUGCUACCGCCACUGCCAACACCGCCACUGCUAGCACUGCCUCCGCUGCUAGAUGGCUGUGCGACCGGACAGCAGCACCCGACGCCAUACCUGCAUCGGAUGCAAACAUUUGCGUAUGUAACGUAUGUAUGUAGUUGGCAUGCAUGCACAUAGCAGGAGAGCGCAGUUCGCCCCGAGUGCACGACAGCCAAUCAAUCAAGUACUGUGCCGUGGCUACCUCCCUUGACGGACAACCUCCCGCCCAUCCUAUUAAUGAUUAUACUUACAUAAUGCCAUUGUAAGUCCUGCCGGACCCACAGCCACAUUCCGUUGUCCCGGAUGGGCAAGGCUCUCUGCCGUUGUACUUCGCGGCGCAAGUUCGCAUCUGGCCGCUGACACUGCUGUAUGAUGAGGUCACGUCGUUGCCUGUGUCGGCUGGCGCGAUAGCCCCGCAGCGUCCGGCUACACGUGCAAAGAGCGAGGUACAGAUGGUUUAGCACUCAAGAUAAUACGUAUAAUCAUGUCAUCCUACCACUCUCUCUGUGGGUCUUGAUAUUUUUUCACAAACACAGACACAGACACACACACAACACACCUGAACACCUUAAUACACACACACACACACACACACACACACACACACACACACACACACACGCACACACACACACACAGACACACACACACACACACACACACACACACACUCACGUUGUGGGUACGUGAUGGUCAGCCAGACGCGGCAGUCGGUCGCAUUAUUGUAGCAAUACUGCUUGACGCAAAAACGGCCGUUGUGAAUGU